GUGGGGAAUAUUGGACAAUGGGCGAAAGCCUGAUCCAGCCAUGCCGCGUGUGUGAAGAAGGUCUUCGGAUUGUAAAGCACUUUAAGUUGGGAGGAAGGGCAGUAAGUUAAUACCUUGCUGUUUUGACGUUACCGACAGAAUAAGCACCGGCUAACUUCGUGCCAGCAGCCGCGGUAAUACGAAGGGUGCAAGCAUUAAUCGGAAUUACUGGGCGUAAAGCGCGCGUAGGUGGUUUUGUAAGUUGGAGGUGAAAUCCCCGGGCUCAACCUGGGAACUGCCUCCAAAACUGCAUGACUAGAGUACGGUAGAGGGUAGUGGAAUUUCCUGUGUAGCGGUGAAAUGCGUAGAUAUAGGAAGGAACACCAGUGGCGAAGGCGACUACCUGGACUGAUACUGACACUGAGGUGCGAAAGCGUGGGGAGCAAACAGGAUUAGAUACCCUUGUAGUCC
rnacentral:rRNA from 1 species